UUUAGAAUUAUAUCCCGGCAAAUUUCAAAGCAAACACGAACGCCACUGGCAAAGACAGAGGGAAAACGUGAGGUUCUCUCUAACCUCUUUCGCAUCCUCUGGACUGUGCAACUCCUCACGAGGCUCCCCUUCCGCUUGCUCGGGAUCACCGUAAUCAACAAAGAGGUCCUGGGCCUUGAGCCUUUUCACCUCUUUCCUCCAAGCUUGGAUCUCCGCCUGAAGAUCAGUCUCCCCAACAUCAAUCAAGAAAUUGUGCAAGAUGCAACAACUCUUGAUGAUGUUGGGAAGGUACUUUGAC
rnacentral:lncRNA from 1 species